rnacentral:tRNA from 1 species
CACUAGAUGGCUGAAAGUAAGUAAUGGUCUCUUAAACCAAAAUAUAACAUAUUAACAAAUGUUUUUAGUGA